rnacentral:rRNA from 1 species
AUUGAACGCUGGCGGCAGGCUUAACACAUGCAAGUCGAGCGAGCGGCGGACGGGUGAGUAAUGUCUGGGAAACUGCCUGAUGGAGGGGGAUAACUACUGGAAACGGUAGCUAAUACCGCAUUCUAUCAGAUGUGCCCCGAUGGGCUUAGCUAGUAGGUGGGGUGAUGGCUCACUUAGGCGACGAUCCCUAGCUGGUCUGAGAGGAUGACCAGCCAGACUGGAACUGAGACACGGUCCAUACUCCUACGGGAGGCAGCAGGGGGUGAUAUUGCACAAGGGGCGCAAGCCUGAUGCGGCCAUGCCGCGUGUGUGAAGAAGGCCUUCGGGUUGUAAAGCACUUUCAGCGAGGAGGCGUUACUCGCAGAAGAAGCACCGGCUAACUCCGUGCCAGCAGCCGCGGUAAUUC